rnacentral:tRNA from 1 species
UGCCCGGUCGUCUAAUGGUAGGACGCGUGGCUCUGGACCACGUAGUGAAGGUUCGAAUCCUUCCCGGGCAG